GAGCCUGGGAAGCAAGGAAGAGAGACGAUGGGAUGUGGGCAGAGGCAGAAGAAUUCUAUGCAUUUGGAGUGCUGCAGAGGGAGCUGCAUCUGCUUCUGCCGCUGGAAACCAAUCAUCUGUAGCUAAGUCCCUUCCUCUGAACAUUCAGACUAUCUCAACUCCAGGUACAAAUCUGGACAGUCCCAGUCACAUUCAGACAUGCUAGAAAGACAUGUCAGGCUCCAAAACCAGUAACAACUCCUCCUCUCGGGCCUGGUUAUCACAGCCUCCAGGGCACAACAAGCUUCUGCUGCACUUUUAAAAUAAGAAUCCACACCUCUAAGCUAUGUCACCAGUAGACUGCAAUCACUCUCAUUCAUGACACACAAGAAAGCUGCAUUAUGGGACUUAUCCUGCUCUCAUUGACUUCAAUGGUGGAAGAUGAGUGCCUUGAUUCUCUCCUUUAACAGGAUUCAACCUUUUGCCAUUGUCAGGUGCACUGUCACGUGCUAUGUCUGAUCUUUGAAACAUCUUUUCAUAACAGAGGUGCAACAACAUAAGUAAAAUUGGUGGUGGUGGCGGGGGCAGAAUGACAUGAAGUUAAUAUGCAUGAGUCCUGCUACUAAAUUGUAUGGUACAUGUAUAACAAAGCAAAAAACUGAGGGAGACAUGUCCCUCCAUCUUCCUCCUCCCUCUCCUCCAAGUGGUGCCAGCUAAGUGAAAUGGACAAUGAGAUUAUGGAGAAUCUGUACAGACUACUAUGAAUGACAAUUCAAGCAGUCAGAGUUUUGCCUGUGGGGAGAGCCCCCUGAACCGAACAUGAAGACCAUAAAUCAUAAAUGAAGGCUGAGACAGGAAAGGCAUAGGAUCUUAAGAAGCCAUGGACUAGGUUGUGAAGGACCCACAAAAAACAUUACCGAUGCAUUAAGUUCCAAUGAGAAGGGCUGACUUAAAAGGUAACUGAACUCAUUUUUACCCAGACUGUAAAAAAACCCACCAAAGUUCUGCGAAUUUCAGAUUAAAAAGAAAAUCAGAAUCUAUUCGGGUUCUCUUGACUGCUUUAGAAGCUUUUGCGCCUGCUACUAGGUUCUUUGCAAUAUUUGCAUCUACAUAAGUGGAAGCUAGAGUUUAAGGCUAAUUGUACAAAAAGUAUUUUCCAGAUAUAUCAUGAUUUUAGUAACACCUCUACCUUCUGAUAAACCACUAUCAAAAUUUACAAUUCAGACCUGGUAUAAACAGAUGCAUCUCCAUUAAUUACUCACAUCAAGUCUGAAUUUGCCCCACUGUGUUUCAUGGUUCUCGAUAUUUCUCAUCUCUUGCAAAUAGCUGACUAUUCUGUUUUGUUGCACAUUUAGUAGUACAAAGCACAUAGAAAUGGGACUUUCAUUUUAUGCCAUUUGCAAAAUACACCUGUACUAUUUUAUUUCUCAAGCAUAUUCUGAGGUUUAAACAUGCUACAGAAAUACCAUGUAAAGAAUAGACAAAAUCUUAAGAGCCUCACUCAAGAAAACAAUAUGUAAUAAAAACUUUAAGACUUGCGAGAACACACUGCUACCAUACAGGUUCCAUGAGCUGUGAAAAUGUAGUUUGAUAAAUUUUGAUGACUGGCUAUCCAUACUGUGUUUAUUCAAAGAAGCACUUAUAAAGAACACCUAAAUAGGAGACUGAUUGACAAGUAGCAUUAGAAAUCUUGAAGCAAGUUAGCAAUUAUAUCUAAAAAGAUUAUAAAAGGGAAGACACUGUACAGUUUUCACAACCCUUGCUGUAAAAGGGCAUAAAGGCAUUACUUGACAGCUUUGGUGAAGUGGGGAACAGCGGCCUAUGGGCUCAAGCACCAUGAGAUGUCUUUUCAAUAGAGGUUCUGACUUGUGGAGCCUACUGAAUUCCAUGACUGGCCCAAGCAUGAUAUUUAAGGCCUAGGGAAAACAUCUAGAGCCUGUCUGUGCAACAGGGUGGAUCCCUGGCUUACUGCUGCAAACAGACCCUGAUGCCCACCCUGAGCUCCAAAAGUUUAAAUAUGCCUCAGAAAUCCCAUGAUAACUUACUCCUGAUAUUUAGCCUCUCUCCUGGUCCUGGUCCUCUGCUCCCGACUCCUCACCCUGCCUCAGUUCUUGGUCCCCUGCUCCACUCCUGACUCCUGGCCCUGCCUCUGUCCCACAAACCUUAGUUUGGCUGAUGCACUUCGCUCUUCCCUGGUGGGGCUCAUUGACCUCAAAUUCAACCUAAUCCUAAAACUGAUGCGCCUGAUUUUGACCCUCUCAACUGUACUUGGACCAAGUCCUCUCCACUGAAGGCCCUGACCUCGACCCAUACCCUGUAAAAGUCAGGGUCCUGAAGAUACCAACAUUCCUGCAUCAUCUGGAGGUUUUGCAUUGUUCUGAACAACUAAGGAAUUCAGAAAUCUUGAACCUCAUUUUCAGAAGUGCUGAGAAUCCAUAACUCAGUGGAAAUAAAUAAAAGCUGUGAGAAGACAGGCUGAAAUCACCUCUAAAGCCAUCCUUGUUAAAGUAAAAAUAAAUUAUACAGUUCAUUAUUUUUCAGAGAAAGGAACUGUCCAAUCUUGCUAAGAAUUGUCAGAUGGGCUUCCACAGUUGUAAGAAAUUUUAGGCUCUUCCUCCUCUGCUCCCAACUGCAUCCUGUAAUUUUCAGUUCUGGUUGCUGAUGCUCUAAAUCUGGUCAGCAUAACAAUUUAUUACACACUUAUCAGUGACUCAUCCACAUACUUAAAGAUCUCAAGUAUGAAUCAUGUCUGUCGAAUUCUUAUUAUAGUCUAUAAAGGCUGGUUUACAUCGAUGUACUAUAGAACACAGUGAGCAAAUAAGGGAGACUUUGAUGUUGAAGAAUUGCCUAGUUGCCUGAGCUUUCUGGAGAGGAUUUAACUUAAAGGUAAAAUCUUUGUUUUCAGUAUCACAUCUCCCCAUUUUAAAAAGUGCUUCAGUUUUACAGAGUUAAUAAAAAGGAUGAUCUAAUAAAAUGUUCAAUAUUAAAUGUACUGUUUAGAAUAUAUUGUUAUAGCUCUUAUGAUAGCUUGACAAACCUACUUGGAGGAAGAAAUAUCAUUGCUGCUGCUGCCCGCAGCCUAUAUGUAUAAAUUGACCUAAAUCUACUCUUUCAAUGUCAGAUGACAAAAUCAAAAUGAGAGUGGGUUGGCAGCAUAAAUAUAAGCUAUAUAUUAAAAGAUAUAGCAUGGAAACUCUGCCUUCUAAAGUCAGAAUUCCGAACACAGAAACCACACAAAACUAAUGCUAAUUGAUAUCACAUGUUCUUUAUCAAAGCUUCCUCAAGAAAAGCAGCUUAAGGGAAAAUCCAUAAAUGUGUCUUGACCACAGUCUACCAAUCUUUUUCCAUAUUGGAGCCUUUAGCUAAUUUGUUGGUUUAAUUAUCAUAGGCACAGGAAAGUUUGCAAAAGUGAUAAUCUUGCAUUCUUUGAUGGCUGAUUAUAUAAAGUAGUCUUUAUGAAGUAAAAAUAAACCUUGACCCUUAAGUAUAAUAUCUGAACUCUAAAAAUUAGUUUCUCUCUAAAUCUGGAAGCAUAGUCUUCUACUACUACUAUUGUCUGUGAACUAAAUUCAGAAAAAAUAAUAAACACUGAAGUUCUGAAAUCGAUGAUAGACAAGUUUAGCUGCUGCCUAUGGAAAUUUGGGAUAAAUUGGCCAAAUUGGAUAAAUGGGGUUUUAGCCUUUGUCAUCUCAGGGAAUAUAGAGGGUUGUUAGGUAAUUGAUUCUACUGUGCCAUUUACAUAUCUUUAAUUGGAUAGGAAGUAUGAACUAUUGCAAUAUUCUGAAGGUAUUAGCAGAAGGUCAAACAGAAAAGAGUUGUAGAGGGAGGAGGAAGAAGUAAUUGAAGAGACAGAAGAGGAUUACGAAAGUCUUUAAGGAGUCUGCAUCUGGCAAGACAUAAAAUAGGUCAAGAAGCAAAAAAAUGGGAGGUCAGUCACUUUUACUAGAAUACUCCACCCCCAAAUAUUCCCACGUAUAUACAAAACCCCCAGAAAAAUAUUACAUUAACAACCAGUAACUGUCCCAAGCCAGCUAUUGAUAUUACGGUAAUGGUUUGGAAUUUUAUGCUAGGAAUAAACACUAAGUUAUUUAUGCUGCACAACAAUUAACCAAGGAAGAUGAAGUGUAUAUCUGAAGGCACCAUUGCUGAAAUGCUCUUUAGAAAAGCAAUAUUGGCUAGAAUGAGAACAUUACACGAAAACUGAUAAUCUAUGGUCAAAUGAUUUUAUAUCCAUCAUGGCUCAUUUGAGAAUAUUCUGGUCUAUCACCUCUGCCUCCUCCAACUUUUCCAACUCCUCCAAACCAAACGGUCCUUAGGAAAUAGAUCUUUGCUGCAAAAUUAUUCCUUAGAAAAAGUAUAACAUGGCAACUAAGCAUUGCUAGCACCAUUAGUGCCUCAGGGGACUGUACCACUCCUCUUAAGACAACGAGAACUGGUGGUGACUGGAGCAUGAGAACAAGAUAAGUUAAAGACACUAUUUAUUUGGGGAGUGUUAGGAAAUUUUAAUUAGUGAAUAUAUAUCUAUAAUUUCACUGUAAUUUAAGACACUGAAGUUGCUUCUUUUGGACUGAUGUGUCAACCUAGGCCACAGUAAAGUACAUACAAUUGUUCAUUUAGCAUUUUAAUUUUUAAAAAUAUUGGUAUAACCUUUUCUAUUUGUUUCUGUGAUGUUAUCUGAUUAAAAUAUAAUCAUAUAGUUCAUUGUUGCAACCGCUGAUCUAUUUGCAACAAAUCUUGUACAAAAUGUGGCAUGCAAGAUGUGUAUGAAAAGGUUAUGAUUUGCUGGUUAUGAUUAUGUUAUUUGUAUGCAUGUAUCAUUUUUAUAUUUGAAGUUGAGUAUUGGCUCUAUACCUGUAUUUCAAAUGUUUGCUCCUGGGGUAAUGCCCACAAGACAGUUAGCCAGAACAUCUUGGAGGGACUAUUCAAAAUGAGUAGCCCAUCAAAAGGACACAACUCAAAAUGGACCAUGGAAGACACCCAUCUAAACUGAAUAGACUUUCCUGUAGACGUUCAACCUGAAGUACUGGUAAUGGUUUCCUUCAAUGACUAGGCGAAAUCAGGUAUGGACAUGUGACUUGCCCAUGUGACUCCAAACACCCAUCUUUUACCUGUAAUUUUCCACUAGCUGUGCUGAGGACUUUUUUUGAAACAAUAGGUUUCCCACUACAUGGCAGAAGCUAUAAAAGGCCCUGGAAACACCCCCAUUUUGCCUCUUUCCUCCUCAAACCUCUGAACUAUGGACUUAUACUAAUGGGAGCAUUGUAAC